AAGAUGUGAAAGGAAAGCGGCGGACGGGUGAGUAACGCGUGAGUAACCUGCCUAUCAGAGGGGGACAACAUUUCGAAAGGAAUGCUAAUACCGCAUAAAAUAACAGUACCGCAUGAUACAGUUAUCAAAGAUUUAUCGCUGAUAGAUGGACUCGCGUCUGAUUAGAUAGUUGGUGAGGUAACGGCUCACCAAGUCGACGAUCAGUAGCCGAACUGAGAGGUUGAUCGGCCACAUUGGGACUGAGACACGGCCCAGACUCC
rnacentral:rRNA from 1 species